rnacentral:piRNA from 1 species
UGGGGAAGUGUCACAGAUGUGCACAUGGGC